rnacentral:rRNA from 1 species
GUGGGGAAUAUUGGACAAUGGGGGGAACCCUGAUCCAGCCAUGCCGCGUGUGUGAAGAAGGCCUUUUGGUUGUAAAGCACUUUAAGCGAGGAGGAGGCUACCGAGAUUAAUACUCUUGGAUAGUGGACGUUACUCGCAGAAUAAGCACCGGCUAACUCUGUGCUAGCAGCCGCGGUAAUACAGAGGGUGCAAGCGUUAAUCGGAUUUACUGGGCGUAAAGCGCGCGUAGGUGGCCAAUUAAGUCAAAUGUGAAAUCCCCGAGCUUAACUUUGGAAUUGCAGUCGAUACUGGUUGGCUAGAGUAUGGGAGAGGAUGGUAGAAUUCCAGGUGUAGCGGUGAAAUGCGUAGAGAUCUGGAGGAAUACCGAUGGCGAAGGCAGCCAUCUGGCCUAAUACUGACACUGAGGUGCGAAAGCAUGGGGAGCAAACAGGAUUAGAAACCCUGGUAGUCC